AACGUAGGACGCAAGCGUUAUCCGGGGUUACUGGGCGUAAAGCGCGUGCAGGCGGUUCCUUAAGUCUGAUGUGAAAUCUCCCGGCUCAACCGGGAGCAGCCAUUGGAAACUAGGGAACUGGAGGGCGAGAGAGGUAGGCGGAAUUCCGGGUGGAGUGGUGAAAUGCGUAGAGAUCCGGAGGAACACCAGAGGCGAAGGCGGCCUACUGGCUCGCACCUGACGCUGAGCCGCGAAAGCCAGGGGAGCGAACGGG
rnacentral:rRNA from 1 species